rnacentral:rRNA from 1 species
GAUCCUGGCUCAGGAUGAACGCUGGCGGCGUGCUUAACACAUGCAAGUCGAACGAAGCACUCUAUUUGAUUUUCUUCGGAAAUGAGGAUUUUGUGACUGAGUGGCGGACGGGUGAGUAACGCGUGGGUAACCUGCCUCAUACAGGGGGAUAACAGUUAGAAAUGACUGCCAAUACCGCAUAAGACCACAGAGUCGCAUGGCUCGGUGGGAAAAACUCCGGUGGUAUGAGAUGGACCCGCG